UUCAUUGGGGGUGUGGGGAAAUCAGGACGGUAACUUUGAAAAAAUUAAAGGGUUUAAGGCAGGCCCGGGCUGGAAUACUUUACCAGGAAAAAAGGAAAUAGGAGGUUGAUCCUAUUUUGUUGGUUUCUAGGAUUGACGUAAUGAUUAAUAGGGAUAGUUGGGGGCAUUAGUAUUCAAUUGCCAGAGGUGAAAUUCUUGGAUUUAUUGAAGACUAACUACUGCGAAAGCAUUUGCCAAGGAUGUUUUCAUUAAUCAAGAACGAAAGUUAGGGGAUCGAAGACGAUCAGAUACCGUCGUAGUCUUAACCAUAAACUAUGCCGACUAGGGAUCGGAUGAUGUUAAUUUUUUAAUGACUCAUUCGGCC
rnacentral:rRNA from 1 species